AAUAGAAAGGAAUAAUGCAACCAACCUAGUUGGCUAAUCAAUCUAAGAGAUUUUAUCUAUUAACAAACCAAAAACGAAUGACCAUAAUCCCAACCUUACCAACACCAGAGCAUACUAAUCAAUGAACCCCCGAAACCCACUUUCUUUUCUGACAAAAUCAACCGCGGUCACGACAUGUUGUUGAUAUUGAUUGAGUUUGAGGUGACCGAAUCCAUCCAUAAACCUAGACCCCGGUACCCUUCGUAACCAAAGCGUCACGACACCAUCCAAAGGUGACCUUUGGAUUCUUUUUUAGGGGCAAAAGGAGGAGCACGUAGGAAUGCCGACCACUCCAUAAGCCACUAGUGGUUAAGGAAAA
rnacentral:lncRNA from 1 species